AGUUAUAAACUUUAUAUUAAGUUUAUGCCUUGAAAUCAUAAUAAAAGGGUUAAAUUCCCUUAUUAACUU
rnacentral:tRNA from 1 species